CAGUCGCCGCGGGAAUACGUAGGUGGCAAGCGUUGUCCGGAAUUAUUGGGCGUAAAGGGCUCGCAGGCGGUUUCUUAAGUCUGAUGUGAAAGCCCCCGGCUCAACCGGGGAGGGUCAUUGGAAACUGGGAAACUUGAGUGCAGAAGAGGAGAGUGGAAUUCCACGUGUAGCGGUGAAAUGCGUAGAGAUGUGGAGGAACACCAGUGGCGAAAGCACUCUGCUGGGCCGACACUGACACUGAGGAGCGAAAGCGUGGGGAGCGAACAGGAUUAGAUACCCCCGUAGUCCCUGUCUCUUAUAC
rnacentral:rRNA from 1 species